GGGGUGUCUCUGUGGAAGAGCACUUGCCUAACGUGCAUGAGGUCCUGAGUUCAACCCCCAGCACUUCA
rnacentral:tRNA from 1 species